rnacentral:rRNA from 1 species
UAAGGAAUAUUGGACAAUGGAGGCAACUCUGAUCCAGCCAUGCCGCGUGAAGGAAUAAGGCCCUAUGGGUUGUAAACUUCUUUUAGACGGGACAAAACCCCUUUACGUGUAAAGGGUUGAUGGUACUGUCAGAAUAAGCAUCGGCUAACUUCGUGCCAGCAGCCGCGGUAAUACGAAGGAUGCAAGCGUUAUCCGGAAUUAUUGGGUUUAAAGGGUGCGUAGGCGGACUAAUAAGUCAGUGGUGGAAGCCUGCAGCUUAACUGCAGAAUUGCCAUUGAUACUGUUAGUCUUGAGUACAGUUGAGGUAGGCGGAAUGUGUCAUGUAGCGGUGAAAUGCUUAGAUAUGACACAGAACACCGAUUGCGAAGGCAGCUUGCUAAGCUGUAACUGACGCUGAGGCACGAAAGCGUGGGGAGCAAAC